GUGUUCUCUUCGGCAACACAUAUACUAAAAUUGGAACGAUACAGAGAAGAUUAGCAUGGCCCCUGCACAAGGAUGACAUGCAAAUUCAUGAAGCAUUCCAUAUUUUU
ensembl:snRNA U6 U6 spliceosomal RNA